UACGUAGGGACCGAGCGUUGUCCGGAAUCAUUGGGCGUAAAGAGCGUGUAGGCGGCCUUUUAAGUCCUGCGUGAAAUCCUGCGGCUCAACCGCAGACGGUCGUGGGAAACUGGAAGGCUAGAGUCCGGAAGAGGCGAGUGGAACUCCUGGUGUAGCGGUGGAAUGCGCAGAUAUCAGGAAGAACACCAACGGCGAAGGCAGCUCGCUAGGACGGUACUGACGCUGAGACGCGAAAGCGUGGGGAGCGAACAGG
rnacentral:rRNA from 1 species